rnacentral:rRNA from 1 species
CAAGUCGUACGGGCCGCAAGGCCAGUGGCGCAAGGGUGAGUAAGGCGACGGCAACCAACCCCAGGGUCGGGCAUAGCCGGGGGAAACCCCGGGUAAUUCCCGGCGACGUGACCGGAGGGCAUCCUCCGGGCACCACAGGUGCGAUUCCGCCCUGGGACGGGCCGUCGUGGUAUUAGCUAGUUGGCGGGGUAACGGCCCACCAAGGCCGCGAUGCCUACCGGGCGUGCGAGCGUGGCCCGGCACACUGGGACUGAGACACUGCCCAGACUCCUACGGGAGGCUGCAGUCGAGAAUCUUCGGCAAUGGGCGCAAGCCUGACCGAGCGACGCCGCGUGGAGGACGAAGGCCUUCGGGUUGUAAACCUCCUGUCGAGGGGGAGGAAGGCGGCGCGCANAGCGUCGCUUGACCGAUCCCUGGAGGAAGCACGGGCUAAGUUCGUGCCAGCAGCCGCGGUAAGACGAACCGUGCGAACGUUAUUCGGAAUCACUGGGCUUAAAGCGCGUGUAGGCGGAUGGGCACGUCGGUCGCUGAAAGCCCCCGGCUCAACCGGGGAAGGGGCGCCGAUACGACUCAUCUGGAGGGGCGUAGGGGGGACUGGAACUUCCGGUGGAGCGGUGAAAUGCGUUGAGAUCGGAAGGAACGCCCGUGGCGAAAGCGAGUCCCUGGACGCCAUCUGACGCUGAGACGCGAAAGCCAGGGGAGCGAACGGGAUUAGAUACCCCGGUAGUCCUGGCCGUAAACGAUGGGCACUAGGUAGGGGGCUCGCCGAUGGGCUCCCUGCCGCAGCGAAAGCGUGAAGUGCCCCGCCUGGGGAGUAUGGU